rnacentral:lncRNA from 1 species
GAUGCCAUAUCAUCCAAGUUAUUUUGACUUGCAAAACUUCCACGUACUGUCAUAAAGAUUCUAAAUUUAACAGCUUCGUUGUCCAUAUUUCGAAACCUGUCACACAAUAGAAACAAAAUCACGUAUUCACAGGAAAUCAUAAUCAAAAGGAGGGCAAUAAUGUCAAAGCAUAAAUAUACAUGGGUUCUAUAGCUAGGCAUUAUCCACGUACUGAUCCUUGAAUUGCAGUGUGGUCAUGAAAGUGCAGCUAAACCAAGGAGUUUGCGUUGCAUGGGGGAUUCUGGCCGGUGGGUGAGGAAGGCAAAUUAAAAGAGGGGAAAAGGAAAAGGAUUGAGGUAAUGAUGAGCAUGAGGAGGAAAAAGGGUUGUUAGUAAUAAUAAGAUGAGAUUCUUCAAAGGAAGAAGAUGGUGACAGACAUAUGCAAAGUAUAUGCUGUUUGGGUUGUCUGGUUGUGGAUGCAGAGAAGGAGAAAAAAGAUGCAGAGAGGCAAAGAGCAUAUAAUGUACCUUAAGCCUGCUGCUACUGCUGCAACUUACUCUCUCCUUUACUAUGCUUUCUAAAAGCUUUGGAUAUACCCUCUUUUCUCUUUCAGCUUUUGGUUGACGUGCAUCAACUUAAUGGAGUUAAUUUGGCUCCAGGUAGAGGUGAAAAAAGGGAAAACGGUCCUAGCUAGCUAGAGGGUUUUGCAGUGUGUAUCAUCAUGUUUUUAGGAAAUUUGUAUGAUUUUAAAUUUUUUAUUUGAAAUACAAAAUGCAAAUAGCAGAGAUUGGUGGAAGCAAAGGCUCAAAUGGGAUCCCUAGGACUCAGGUUGGUCGAUGCACUACAAGAAAUUGCCUACCUAAGAGUAGCAUUUUUGCUUGCUAACAGCGGGCAUGGAAAUUUUAAGCGAC